rnacentral:miRNA from 1 species
UGUAUGUAUGUGUGUACAUGUAUAUGUAUAUAAGCUUUCAUAUUGAAAGAAAUACAAUGUAUUAAAUACAAGAUGGGGGUAAACCAUUCAGGACCCCUACUCC